AGCAUGCGCACUUGGUUAUCUGUCGGACCUUGACUCUAACUGGUUAACUAGUUCUAGAACCUCGUCGGGGUCCAUGAGAGGAGAAGCCAUAUAUGAGAGAAGAAACAAGAAUAAGAAAAUUAGAAGACAUUUGGGGAACUUCAUGUCAGGAGAGAGAGAUGAACUUGAAGCCUAGGUACUGUGUCCCUCACAGUCACUCACUAGUGACUUCCGCCUCCACUAGCCACCAAGAGUGGAGCCACUGCUGGUCCCACCAGCUCUGCCACUUCCUCGCUGCUGCCACCGUUUUUGCCAAUUGUGUGGAAGCUUUGCAGUCACGAGUUCUCCAGUUCGAGGGACACUUUUGAUGUCAGUACCAUUCUGGAGGCUGGAACAAGUUGUUUUCCUCCUUGCAUGAAAAUUACCAGGCUGACAUCGUUACCAGCUAAAAAUGUUCGCAUAGCAGGACUUCUAUAAAUAGAUCCCAAACACUAAAUUGUGUUGAGUGGGAUUUCACAAUAGCCAUCAGAUAGCUACAUAUGGUUUGUAAAUCUUGUCUAUGGAAAAUGAGGCCUGCUAAAGUAUCAGGGCAUGCAAACAUUGAGGAUUUUCCUGAGUGGGAAAGAAAAAAAAAAAAAACCUCACAGGUAAAGAUUUACGUCGCUUCACUCACUGGGUAAAGGAGCAUAAUUCUCUAAAGGCAAGGUGUCUCUUUGAAGGAUAAAUUAGAAUAUUGUUCAGUUAUUGUGGAUCUUUUUCCUAUCUUAAAGGGAUAGUUUACCGAAAGAGGACUUUGUGUUUUCAGUUGGUGUGUAAAAAUAUUCACUGUGUUGGGUACUUUAUUAUUUGUAGCAGACAAACAAUUUCUGGUAUGGCAAAUAUCUGGGAAAAUAAAAAUGACAAGCGAAUUGUAUGUUGUUUUACUCCUUGAACUUGAGCCUCUGUUUCUCUAUUAUCAUAUUACGUGUGUGGCUACUAUAUUACCAAUCUGCUUAUCAUUUAUAUAACUAAUUUAUCAGUAUUAUAUGUCCAUGUUAUUCCAGUGUUGGUUAUCAAUACGCUAAAAUUCAGGCCAGAUUUAUACUUGCAGAAAGGUAGUAAAACAUUAAGGCUUAUAUUUGGAUCCUUCAAACAAACAAAAAAAUAAACAAAAAAACAAGCACUAUCCAACAAAUGAAUCUAUUACUAAUAAUUUUGAAAUAAUCAUGGCAAAGCUGUUUUAGGAGUAUUUGAAUGACUGACCAAAUUCUCUUUUUCACUUAACUAUAGAUGACCUCAUGGAAAUAUUUGUUCAUAAAUAUUUGUUGUAUAUUAUUAUUCUAAUUGGCUGGCAAGAUUACUCUCUCUGUGUACUUUUCUGUGGCUUUUGCAGUAUCUAGGAGGUACCUGGAAAACGUCGGGUGAGUAAAGCUAAAUUGAGAAGAUAAAUCUUGUAGAAGAUAAUAAACUGUGUUCUGAGUCAGGGUUCUUGUCCCCAAAACCCCAACUUUUUCAUCUCUUCCUGCCUCCUCUUACCUCCUACCUCUUACCUAACAAGUUUACCUGACAGUACCUUUUUUAUUCAUUUUUUUCUAAAAUGAUCAGGUAAUGCUUUCAGCUAUAAUGAAUUACACCAUGUUUACCAAAACUGUCUUUCUUUACCUUGAAAAAUGUAAUCAGCUUUAAUUUUGAAUUAGAUUUAAAAGCAGAAAAACAAACACACAGGCUUGUCUGGAAGCUAUAAUGGAAUCUCCAAUGCUACCACUUUAGAGUUUUUCCUGAACUUUUAAUGUUAUCUGUUCACAGGGCAAAAAAGCAAUUGAACUUCCCCCAAGAGAAUGAUGACAUAACUAGUAAAAAUCGGCUCCUCUGGAUACAACUGAAAGAGAUAUCCUUUUUCCAUUUCCCCCAAAAAUAAUACCAUUAAAACAAUUUUAAAAAAAUAUUGUUUUAA